rnacentral:rRNA from 1 species
AUUGAACGCUGGCGGCAGGCCUAACACAUGCAAGUCGAGCGGAUGAAGGGAGCUUGCUCCUGGAUUCAGCGGCGGACGGGUGAGUAAUGCCUAGGAAUCUGCCUGGUAGUGGGGGAUAACGUCCGGAAACGGGCGCUAAUACCGCAUACGUCCUGAGGGAGAAAGUGGGGGAUCUUCGGACCUCACGCUAUCAGAUGAGCCUAGGUCGGAUUAGCUAGUUGGUGGGGUAAAUGCCUACCAAGGCGACGAUCCGUAACUGGUCUGAGAGGAUGAUCAGUCACACUGGGACUGAGACACGGUCCAGACUCCUACGGGAGGCAGCAGUGGGGAAUAUUGGACAAUGGGCGAAAGCCUGAUCCAGCCAUGCCGCGUGUGUGAAGAAGGUCUUCGGAUUGUAAAGCACUUUAAGUUGGGAGGAAGGGCAGUAAGUUAAUACCUUGCUGUUUUGACGUUACCAACAGAAUAAGCACCGGCUAACUUCGUG